rnacentral:rRNA from 1 species
GAUGAACGCUGGCGGCGUGCCUAAUACAUGCAAGUCGAGCGAACGGACGAGAAGCUUGCUUCUCUGAUGUUAGCGGCGGACGGGUGAGUAACACGUGGAUAACCUACCUAUAAGACUGGGAUAACUUCGGGAAACCGGAGCUAAUACCGGAUAAUAUUUUGAACCGCAUGGUUCAAAAGUGAAAGACGGUCUUGCUGUCACUUAUAGAUGGAUCCGCGCUGCAUUAGCUAGUUGGUAAGGUAACGGCUUACCAAGGCAACGAUGCAUAGCCGACCUGAGAGGGUGAACGGCCAGACUGGAACUGAGACACGGUCCAGACUCCUACGGGAGGAAGCAGUAGGGAAUCUUACGCAAUGGGCGAAAGCCUGACGGAGCAACGCCGCGUGAGUGAUGAAGGUCUUCGGAUCGUAAAACUCUGUUAUUAGGGAAGAACAUAUGUGUAAGUAACUGUGAACAUCUUGACGGUACCUAAUCAGAAAGCCACGGCUAACUACGUG